GAUGGAAAAAUGUAGGUAAGGAAAGUCGGUAAAAUGGAUCCGUAACUUCGGGAAGAGGAUUGACUCUGAGGGCUGGGCACGGGGGUCCCAGUCCCGAACCCAUUGGUUGUUGGUGUAUUGCACGAGCUGCUCCCGCAGCAAGAGUGCGUUGCAAGGUGCCAGCCUGGGGACAUACUGGGAAAGGUUCCUUCGAGGGCCUUCCCCGCGCGUCAAACAACCAACUCAGAACUGGUACGAACAAGCGGAAUCCGACUAUUUAACUAAAACAAAGAAUUGCGAUAGUCCCAAUGGAUGUUCACGCAAUGUGAUAUUUGCCCAGUGCUCUAAUUGUCAAAGUGAAGAAAUUUAACCAAGCGCAGGUAAACAGCGGGAGUAACUAUGACUCUUUUAAGGUAGCCAAAUGCCUCGUCAUGUAAUUAAUGAUGCACAUGAAUGGAUUAACGAGAUUCCCACUAUCCUUGUCUACUAUUCUUCCAAACCACAGCCAAGGGAACGCGCUUGGCAAAGUCAGUGCGGAAAGAAAACCCUGUUGAGCUUGAAUCUAGUCCGACUUUAUGAAAUGACAUGAGAGGUGUAGUAUAAGUGGGAGCCGAAAGGCGAAAGUGAAAUACCACUACUUUUAAUGUUAGUUUACUUAUUCUGUGAAUUGGAAGCGGGGAACUGCCCCUUUUUUUGGACCCAAGGCUUGCUCUGCGGGCCGAUCCGGGCGGAAGACAUUGUCAGGUGGGGAGUUUGGCUGGGGCGGCACAUCUGUUAAAAGAUAAAGUAGGUGUCCGAAGAUAAGCUCAACAAGAAUAGAAAUCUCAUAUAGAAUAGAAAGGUAAAAGCUCAUUUGAUUUUGGUUUCCAGUACGAAUACGAUCGAUGAAAGCAUGGCCUAAGGAUCUUUUAGACCUUUAAAAUUCAAAGCUAUAGGUGUCGAAAAAGUUACUACUAGGAUAACUGGUUUGUGGCAGCAAAGCAUUCAUAGAGAUGUUGCUUUCUGAUGCUUCGAUGUUGACUAUUCCUAUCAUUGUGAAGUAGAAUUCACCAUGUGUUGGAUUGUUCACCGACCAAUAAGGAACGUGAUCUGAGUUUAUACCAUUGUAAGACAGAUUAGUUUUACCCUACUGAUGACAGUGUCGCAAUAGUAAUUCAACCUAAUACGAGAGGAACCGCUGAUUCUCAUAAUUGGUCAUCGUAUUUGGUUGAAAAGCCAGUGGCGCGAAGCUAACAUGUGCUGGAUUAUGACUGAAUUCCUCUACGUCAAAAUCCAGGCUAGAAGCAAUGCAUGCGCCCACCGCCUACUUGCUGACCCAUAGUAGGGGCCUCAACCCCCAAGGGCACGUGUCAUUAGCUAAGCCACCGCGGCAAAAGGGUUGCGGUGGCCUAUCUAAAGUACAAUUUCCAUCGAGCGGUGAGUAGAAUACUGUGCAGAGAACUUAAAUACGCAAUGGGGUAUUGUAAGUGGCAGAGUGGUCUUGUUGCCACGAUCCACUGAGAUUCAUCCCUUUGUCGCUCCGAUUC
rnacentral:ncRNA from 1 species